rnacentral:snoRNA from 1 species
CUUGUGAUUCUCUCUCCCCCUCUACCUUUCCCCAACCCUUAAAAAAAAAAAAAAAUGUAGCCCUACAGAGUUGGAAACGCCUCAUAGAGUAUAUGUGUGGUUUCCUUCAUUCACAGAACUAUGUGUUAGAUCUGUGGGAAAGAACUACAAGACAUUU